AUUGAACGCUGGCGGCAUGCCUUACACAUGCAAGUCGAACGGCAGCACGGGGGCAACCCUGGUGGCGAGUGGCGAGCGGGUGAGUAAUGCAUCGGAACGUGUCCUCUUGUGGGGGAUAACCAGUCGAAAGACUGGCUAAUACCGCAUGAGAUCGAAAGAUGAAAGCGGGGGACCGUAAGGCCUCGCGCGCGAGGAGCGGCCGAUGCCCGCUUAGCUAGUUGGCGGGGUAAAAGCCCACCAAGGCGACGAUCGGUACCUGGUCUGAGAGGACGACCAGCCACACUGGGACUGAGACACGGCCCAGACUCCUACGGGAGGCAGCAGUGGGGAAUUUUGGACAAUGGGGGAAACCCUGAUCCAGCCAUGCCGCGUGUGUGAAGAAGGCCUUCGGGUUGUAAAGCACUUUCGGACGGAACGAAAUCGCGCGAGCGAAUACCUCGCGUGGAUGACGGUACUGUAAGAAGAAGCACCGGCUAACUACGUGCCAGCCGCCGCCGUAAUAC
rnacentral:rRNA from 1 species